CUCUUAAACUUUGGGUUUUGACUACUGUUGAGGCUACGAGUUUACAAGCAGUUGACGUCAUCAACCAUUCAGCCAAUCACAGUCGUUUAUGAUCACGUGACUAAAGUAGACAGAAAAAUCAUAUUAUUUUCCUAUUUUCUCUUAAAAUAUCUCG